rfam:TPA: Bos taurus chromosome 15, whole genome shotgun sequence.
CCUGGUGGCUCAGACGGUAAAGCAUCUGCCUACAAUGCAGGAGACCCAGGUUCGAUCCCUGGGUCAGGA